rnacentral:rRNA from 1 species
CCUACGGGAGGCAGCAGUGGGGAAUAUUGCACAAUGGGGGAAACCCUGAUGCAGCAACGCCGCGUGAAGGAAGACGGUUUUCGGAUUGUAAACUUCUAUCAAUAGGGAAGAAAGAAAUGUGGGUACCUAAAUAAGAAGUUCCGGUUAACUACGUGCCAGCAGCCGCGGUAAUACGUAGGGGGAAAGAGGUAUACGGAAUUACUGGGUGCAAAGGGCGAGUUGGCGGCAAGGCAAGCGAUAUGUGAAAGCCUUAAGCUUAACGAAAGGAUUGCAUAACAAACUAUCUAGCUGGAGUAAAGGAGAGGAUAGCGGAAUUCCUGGUGUAGCGGUGAAAUGCGUAGAUAUUAGGAAGAACACCAGUGGCGAAGGCGACUAUCUGGACUACAACUGACGCUGAGGCUCGAAAGCGUGGGGAGCGAACAGGAUUAGAUACCCCAGUAGUC